rnacentral:rRNA from 1 species
GCAUAUCAAUAAAGCGGAGGAAAAGAAACCAACAGGGAUUGCCUCAGUAACGGCGAGUGAAGCGGCAACAGCUCAAAUUUGAAAUCUGGCUCUCGGGUCCGAAUUGUAAUUUGUAGAAGAUGCUUCGAGUGUUAGCCUGGUCUAAGUUCCUUGGAACAGGACGUCAUAGAGGGUGAGAAUCCCGUAUGUGACUAGUGCUCUCGCUCAUGUGAAGCUCUUUCGACGAGUCGAGUUGUUUGGGAAUGCAGCUCAAAAUGGGUGGUAAAUUUCAUCUAAAGCUAAAUAUUGGCCAGAGACCGAUAGCGCACAAGUAGAGUGAUCGAAAGAUGAAAAGCACUUUGGAAAGAGAGUUAAACAGUACGUGAAAUUGUUGAAAGGGAAGCGCUUGCAACUAGACUUGCAUGCCGUCGAUCAUCCGAGGUUUUCCCCGGUGCACUCGGCGGUGUUCAGGCCAGCAUCGGUUUGGGUGGUUGGAUAAAGGCCUUGGGAAUGUAGCUUCUUUCGGGGAGUGUUAUAGCCCUCGGUGCAAUGCAGCCUACCCGGACCGAGGACCGCGCUUCGGCUAGGAUGCUGGCGUAAUGGUUGUAAGCGACCCGUCUUGAAACACGGACCAAGGAGUCUAACAUCUAUGCGAGUGUUUGGGUGUCAAACCCAUACGCGUAAUAAAAGUGAACGGAGGUGAGAACCCUUAAGGGUGCAUCAUCGACCGAUCCUGAUGUCUUCGGAUGGAUUUGAGUAAGAGCAUAGCUGUUGGGACCCGAAAGAUGGUGAACUAUGCCUGAAUAGGGUGAAGCCAGAGGAAACUCUGGUGGAGGCUCGCAGCGGUUCUGACGUGCAAAUCGAUCGUCAAAUUUGGGUAUAGGGGCGAAAGACUAAUCGAACCAUCUAGUAGCUGGGUUCCUGCCGAAG